AUCCCAGGUGUAAGCCAGUACAUACAACACCUAGAUUGAAAAAAAGAAAAUUACAUUUUUCAGAAAGAAUGCUUCCUUACUAAUUUUUCCUAUGUAUAUAGUCCAGGCUGGCCUAUAAUUCUCAUGUACCCUCCAAGGGCUGAGAUUACAGACAUGCUCCAAUACACCCAGUUAAAUUACUCAAAUUAACUUAAGAGUCCCAACUACAUUAGAGAUGUGUUUCUUUAGGAUGUGGCACCAGUGGUGUCAGCAGUGGCAGUAUAUGAGAAGAAUCACUAAUAUGGUUGACAAGCACAGGCCCUGGAGUCAGUCUCCCACACUCCUAAAAGUAAGUCACAGGUUGUCACGCAGAAGUUCAUGGGCUACAUACAAGCAUGUUAAAUUUGAGAUACCAUCAUUUAGAAGUUCUCAGUAUAUCCAUUGGUUAAUGUUUUCCUUCUAGUUAAAUGGAAUGAAUGUAACAACUUUAAGCAAUUUAUUUUUUCUGCUCUCAAAUUUAUCAGUCUCAAAUGUAUCAGACAAUAAAGGAAGGAUGU
rnacentral:lncRNA from 1 species